rnacentral:rRNA from 1 species
AUGACUCUCGGCAACGGAUAUCUCGGCUUUAGCAUCGAUGAAGAACAUAGUGAAAUGCGAUAUCUUGUGUGAAUUGCAGAAUCCCGUGAACCAUCGAGUCUUUGAAUGCAAGUUGUGCCCGAGGCCACCCGGUCAAGGGCAUGCCUGCCUGGGCGUCAUGA